rnacentral:rRNA from 1 species
AUGUCUGUGAAGAUGCGGACUACCUGCACCUGGACAGAAAGACCCUAUGAAGCUUUACUGUUCCCUGGGAUUGGCUUUGGGCCUUUCUUGCGCAGCUUAGGUGGAAGGCGAAGAAGGCCCCCUUCCGGGGGGGCCCGAGCCAUCAGUGAGAUACCAAUCUGGAAGAGCUCGGAUUCUAACCUUGUGUCAGACCCGCGGGCCAAGGGACAGUCUCAGGUAGACAGUUUCUAUGGGGCGUAG